ACGGGUUGUAAAGCACUUUCAGUAGGGAGGAAGGUAGUGUAGUUAACACCUGCAUUAUUUGACGUUACCUACAGAAGAAGCACCGGCUAACUCCGUGCCAGCAGCCGCGGUAAUACGGAGGGGUGCGAGCGUUAAUCGGAAUUACUGGGCGUAAAGCGCAUGCAGGCGGCCUGUUAAGUCAGAUGUGAAAGACCCGGGGCGUUAACCUCGGAAUUGCAUUUGAAACUGGCAGGCUAGAGUCUUGUAGAGGGGGGUAGGAAUUUCAGGUGUAGCGGUGAAAUAGCGUAGAGAUCUGAAGGAAUACCAGUGGCGAAGGCGGCCCCCUGGACAAAGACUGACGCUCAGAUGCGAAAGCGUGGGGAGCAAACAGGAUUAGAUACCCCUGGUAG
rnacentral:rRNA from 1 species